rnacentral:rRNA from 1 species
GAUGAACGCUGGCGGCGUGCCUAACACAUGCAAGUCGAACGGAAAGGCCCUGCUUUUGUGGGGUGCUCGAGUGGCGAACGGGUGAGUAACACGUGAGUAACCUGCCCUUGUCUUUGGGAUAACUUCAGGAAACUGGGGCUAAUAUCGGAUAGGAGCUCCUGCUGCAUGGUGGGGGUUGGAAAGUUUCGGCGGUUGGGGAUGGACUGGCGGCUUAUCAGCUUGUUGGUGGGGUAGUGGCUUACCAAGGCUUUGACGGGUAGCCGGCCUGAGAGGGUGACCGGCCACAUUGGGACUGAGGGAGGGCCCAGACUGGUACGGGAGGCAGCGGUGGGGAAUAUUGCACAGUGGGCGGAAGCGUGAUGCAGCGACGCCGGGUGCGGGAUGACGGCCUUCGGGGUAUGAACCGCUUUCGCCUGAGACGAAGCGGGAGUGACGGUAAUGGGUAAAGAAGCACCGGCUAACUACGUG